rnacentral:rRNA from 1 species
UUAAGCGACUAAGCGUACACGGUGGAUGCCCUGGCAGUCAGAGGCGAUGAAGGACGUGCUAAUCUGCGAUAAGCGUCGGUAAGGUGAUAUGAACCGUUAUAACCGGCGAUUUCCGAAUGGGGAAACCCAGUGUGUUUCGACACACUAUCAUUAACUGAAUCCAUAGGUUAAUGAGGCGAACCGGGGGAACUGAAACAUCUAAGUACCCCGAGGAAAAGAAAUCAACCGAGAUUCCCCCAGUAGCGGCGAGCGAACGGGGAGCAGCCCAGAGCCUGAAUCAGUGUGUGUGUUAGUGGAAGCGUCUGGAAAGGCGCGCGAUACAGGGUGACAGCCCCGUACACAAAAAUGCACAUGCUGUGAGCUCGAUGAGUAGGGCGGGACACGUGGUAUCCUGUCUGAAUAUGGGGGGACCAUCCUCCAAGGCUAAAUACUCCUGACUGACCGAUAGUGAACCAGUACCGUGAGGGAAAGGCGAAAAGAACCCCGGCGAGGGGAGUGAAAAAGAACCUGAAACCGUGUACGUACAAGCAGUGGGAGCACGCUUAGGCGUGUGACUGCGUACCUUUUGUAUAAUGGGUCAGCGACUUAUAUUCUGUAGCAAGGUUAACCGAAUAGGGGAGCCGAAGGGAAACCGAGUCUUAACUGGGCGUUAAGUUGCAGGGUAUAGACCCGAAACCCGGUGAUCUAGCCAUGGGCAGGUUGAAGGUUGGGUAACACUAACUGGAGGACCGAACCGACUAAUGUUGAAAAAUUAGCGGAUGACUUGUGGCUGGGGGUGAAAGGCCAAUCAAACCGGGAGAUAGCUGGUUCUCCCCGAAAGCUAUUUAGGUAGCGCCUCGUGAAUUCAUCUCCGGGGGUAGAGCACUGUUUCGGCAAGGGGGUCAUCCCGACUUACCAACCCGAUGCAAACUGCGAAUACCGGAGAAUGUUAUCACGGGAGACACACGGCGGGUGCUAACGUCCGUCGUGAAGAGGGAAACAACCCAGACCGCCAGCUAAGGUCCCAAAGUCAUGGUUAAGUGGGAAACGAUGUGGGAAGGCCCAGACAGCCAGGAUGUUGGCUUAGAAGCAGCCAUCAUUUAAAGAAAGCGUAAUAGCUCACUGGUCGAGUCGGCCUGCGCGGAAGAUGUAACGGGGCUAAACCAUGCACCGAAGCUGCGGCAGCGACGCUUAUGCGUUGUUGGGUAGGGGAGCGUUCUGUAAGCCUGUGAAGGUGUGCUGUGAGGCAUGCUGGAGGUAUCAGAAGUGCGAAUGCUGACAUAAGUAACGAUAAAGCGGGUGAAAAGCCCGCUCGCCGGAAGACCAAGGGUUCCUGUCCAACGUUAAUCGGGGCAGGGUGAGUCGACCCCUAAGGCGAGGCCGAAAGGCGUAGUCGAUGGGAAACAGGUUAAUAUUCCUGUACUUGGUGUUACUGCGAAGGGGGGACGGAGAAGGCUAUGUUGGCCGGGCGACGGUUGUCCCGGUUUAAGCGUGUAGGCUGGUUUUCCAGGCAAAUCCGGAAAAUCAAGGCUGAGGCGUGAUGACGAGGCACUACGGUGCUGAAGCAACAAAUGCCCUGCUUCCAGGAAAAGCCUCUAAGCAUCAGGUAACAUCAAAUCGUACCCCAAACCGACACAGGUGGUCAGGUAGAGAAUACCAAGGCGCUUGAGAGAACUCGGGUGAAGGAACUAGGCAAAAUGGUGCCGUAACUUCGGGAGAAGGCACGCUGAUAUGUAGGUGAAGUCCCUCGCGGAUGGAGCUGAAAUCAGUCGAAGAUACCAGCUGGCUGCAACUGUUUAUUAAAAACACAGCACUGUGCAAACACGAAAGUGGACGUAUACGGUGUGACGCCUGCCCGGUGCCGGAAGGUUAAUUGAUGGGGUUAGCCGCAAGGCGAAGCUCUUGAUCGAAGCCCCGGUAAACGGCGGCCGUAACUAUAACGGUCCUAAGGUAGCGAAAUUCCUUGUCGGGUAAGUUCCGACCUGCACGAAUGGCGUAAUGAUGGCCAGGCUGUCUCCACCCGAGACUCAGUGAAAUUGAACUCGCUGUGAAGAUGCAGUGUACCCGCGGCAAGACGGAAAGACCCCGUGAACCUUUACUAUAGCUUGACACUGAACAUUGAGCCUUGAUGUGUAGGAUAGGUGGGAGGCUUAGAAGUGUGGACGCCAGUCUGCAUGGAGCCGACCUUGAAAUACCACCCUUUAAUGUUUGAUGUUCUAACGUUGACCCGUAAUCCGGGUUGCGGACAGUGUCUGGUGGGUAGUUUGACUGGGGCGGUCUCCUCCUAAAGAGUAACGGAGGAGCACGAAGGUUGGCUAAUCCUGGUCGGACAUCAGGAGGUUAGUGCAAUGGCAUAAGCCAGCUUGACUGCGAGCGUGACGGCGCGAGCAGGUGCGAAAGCAGGUCAUAGUGAUCCGGUGGUUCUGAAUGGAAGGGCCAUCGCUCAACGGAUAAAAGGUACUCCGGGGAUAACAGGCUGAUACCGCCCAAGAGUUCAUAUCGACGGCGGUGUUUGGCACCUCGAUGUCGGCUCAUCACAUCCUGGGGCUGAAGUAGGUCCCAAGGGUAUGGCUGUUCGCCAUUUAAAGUGGUACGCGAGCUGGGUUUAGAACGUCGUGAGACAGUUCGGUCCCUAUCUGCCGUGGGCGCUGGAGAACUGAGGGGGGCUGCUCCUAGUACGAGAGGACCGGAGUGGACGCAUCACUGGUGUUCGGGUUGUCAUGCCAAUGGCACUGCCCGGUAGCUAAAUGCGGAAGAGAUAAGUGCUGAAAGCAUCUAAGCACGAAACUUGCCCCGAGAUGAGUUCUCCCUGACUCC